UACAGAGACCCCAAGCGUUAUCCGGAAUUAUUGGGCGUAAAGGGUGUGUAGGCGGUCUCUAUUAGUCUCCUGUCAAAUUCCGGGGCUCAACUCCGGGACUGCAGGGGAAACGGAGAGGCUGGAGGGUGCGAGAGGUGAAUGGAACUUAUGGAGUAGGGGUGAAAUCCGUUGAUACCAUGGGGAGCACCGAGAGCGAAGGCAAUUCACUGGCGCAUUUCUGACGCUGAAACACGUAAGCGUGGGUAGCGAACGGG
rnacentral:misc_RNA from 1 species